rnacentral:lncRNA from 1 species
UCAUCAAUUAAUAUGUAUUUGUAUAAAAAUAAAAAUGUUUUAUGAUUGUGUGAGCAGGUAAGAGAGAAAACAUCAAAUAACAAAUUUAACUAAGUUACAUUCACAAGAAAUGAUGAGCCAUAACAUUCCAUUGUCUUUAUAUAGACAAGUUAAUACACAGCUUGAUUUUGAUAGACUUGAUAGUAGAACAACAUGAACUGAAUCACAUGACAAAUCAGUCUUUUCUUUUGUACACUUGCUUGCACACAGCGUCCUCGAAUGUUAGCUCCUGAAAUUGAAAUGAUCAUGAGGUCAAAACAUAUCUAUUAUGAGUACAAGACAAAGCAGGAAUUGUGCGAGGAGAAAAUGUAGUAGAACAACAUGAACUGAAUCACAUGACAAAUCAGUCUUUUCUUUUGUACACUUGCUUGCACACAGCGUCCUCGAAUGUUAGCUCCUGAAAUUGAAAUGAUCAUGAGGUCAAAACAUAUCUAUUAUGAGUACAAAGCAAAGCAGGAAUUGUGCGAGGAGAAAAUGUGUGAAAAAAAUGUAAUUAGCUACAUUAGUUUCCGAGCUAAAAAAAAAAAAAAUAAUAAUAAUAACAUUAUUAAAAAAUAAUAAUAAUUAUUGCUCAUCUCUUUUCAUUAUGACUUUGGAAACAGUCAGUUUUGAAAUGGUAAUUGGCAUAGUGCAUAAAAAUAUUAUAAAUCUAUCACCCACUGAGAUGCUGCUGCCACAAAAGGGGAGAUAGUCCUCGCUGCAGAACACAAGAUCCAGGGGACGUGAUAUGAUGUUACAUAUACCUAAACCUACCCAUCUCCACCCCCUGAUUCCUAAACCCAUCCGUCUCCACCCCCUGAUUCCUAAACCCACCCGUCUUCACCCCCUGAUUCCUAAACCUUCCCAUCUCCCAGAGCUUCACCCCUAAACCUACCAAUCCAACCAUAUGACCCUGGAUAGUGAGUCUGCAGCGAGGGGCUACUGGAAAAGGGGGUGAGUAGGUGGGAGGUUAUACAACAUCACUGUAUUUGAUCUUCAUUCCUGUGAUCAGAGAAAUUCUGUAUUUGGACUCUGCUGUUAAGCAUGGAAGACAAGAUAAGUAGCAAAAAAGUAUGUCAAGAAGAACAAGCACCAUUUCCAGUGUUUGAUUUUCAGAAGAUCAAGAUGCCUAAAGGCUACACUUUAUUCUGUCACCACUGUUGCAGCGCUUUGCGUAUAUUUAUGAGUCAGACUUUAUCUUAAAUGCUCCUUUCAGUGCGUCAUAAAACACGCCAGUAAGAAAGUAGGACGAGAAUGAGAGUGAGAAAGAAUUUGGUAUUGGUCCUUAGCAUAUGGCAGGCCUUACUGAUGUCCAUAAGACAAUGAAAAGAAUCUAAAAAUUCAGCUUUUCCUGUUCCAUAAAAAAAAAAGAAGACAGAAUGACAUUAUUUUUCUGGGAUUUAUUCUUUAAUUAUUUUUUCCAUAAAUUUUGAGGUCAGUAAGAUUUGUUUUGAAAGAUAUUUCUAUUCCAAAUAAAUGCUGUUCCUUAAAACUUUCCAUUCAUCAAAGAAUCCUGAAAUAAGAUCAGUAAUGUAUCACAGUUUUCAUAAAACUAUUAAUCAAAUUAAAUAUUAAACUGUUAAUAAUAAGAAGAAAUGUUUCUUGAGCACCAGAUCAGCAAAAUGAUUUUUGAAGCAUCAUGUGACACUGAAGAGUAGUGGCUGCUGAAAAUUCACCUUUGUCGUCACAAAAAUAAAUGAUAUACAAAAUAUACAAAAAUAAUGUAUUAUAAAUGGCAAACAAUUAGUUGUUUUAAAUUGUAGUAUUACUUUACAAUAUUAUUACUUAGUUUGGUGUAUUUUAAAUCCAGUAAAUGCAGCCGUGAUGAGCGUAAGAGACUUUCAAAAACCUCCAAAUUUGGAAUUUGGAAUGGUAGUGUAGAAACAAGAAGACAGGUUUGGUUGGCAAAGGUGCUCUCUUGUGGUUUGUGGAAGAUGAAACAGGCCAUGAUCUGAAAAGUAAACAGCUCAUCGUGACAGUUCUGUAUCUUUCAUUCUAGAUUCCACUGUUAACACUUUAGAGUUAUUUAUAGUCAGGAACGUCUCAAGACUGGCCUCAUUAUUGACAGGUCUUCACCUCAUGUUUGUGCAGUGAACGAUUCUCUCUCUCUCUCUCUCUCUCUCUCUUCUCUCUCUCUCUCUCUCUCUCUCUCUCUCUCUCUCUCUCUCUCUCUCUCUCUCUCUCUCUCUCUCUCUCUCUCUGGUGUCUGUAGGCAUAAAUGGAAGCCUGUUUGACAGCGUUGUGAUUGUUGCUUUGACUGACUGUUGUGCUGCUGACAGGCUAAGAAUCAAAACAAUUACAAACUGGCAUGUCUGUCUGUUCAUAUGCAUUGACUGACAUGAGCUCAUGAGAUGCAUCAUAUAUUGCAUUUCACUCCCGACGACAGAGCUCCUGUAUAAAAAAUAAAAAUAAAAAUGUCCACAGCAGACAUUGCACUCUUUGAGAUAAUCCAAAGGUCCUAAUUGGCUUUAGGAUUACAACGUGUCCUGUGAUUUGAGUCACCACACCGCACCUUAAUGUUGAAACACUGAAACAUCAGAGCAGAGGGCA